GCAAUCCCUCAGCAAGGGGCUCUGUAAUCUCCAACCAGAAGGGCAGUCUCUGGGGUCAGGCCCUUCCUACUCCAAUCCCUUCUACCAAAGCCCCAUUCAUUUUGCCAACACAGAAUGCACUAAUAAACAGGAAUCUGAAGCUGGAAAAGAGGAGAGGGAGCUGUUGUGUGUGUAGGAGGAAUGACUAUGUGUGACCCAUGAGCGCAAUCUCCAAAAGGAAUAACUGUCCUGUGCUGCCUGUCGUCCAAUAUCUGAACAUUGUUUCACAUAUUUUGUCCAGUUUUCAACUUGCUUGAGGUGUGAGGUCCCAGGUAAACCUGAGGCUGCGGUCCAAGCCCACCCUUUGAAAAGAACCUCUCUAGAUCAACAUACGAAUUUACAGGAGCUACAAAUUAUAGAGGAACACGUCAAAUGAUACCAUGGAGAUGUUAUCAACAAUCCCAGACAGUGGAUCAGGAGACAGAGGCUCAGAGACGUUGAUAAUUGACCAAGUGUUACAGAGCCUUAAAUGGCAGAGCUGGGAUUCAAAUUGUCUGAUUUCCCUGGUGGCUCAGUUCAUAAAGAAUCUACCUACAAUGUAGAAGACGUGAGUUCGAUCCUGAUUCAGGAAGAUUCCCUGGAGAAGGGAAUGGU